UAGAUGCGAGAGUAGAGCAUAUCAAUAAGCGGAGGAAAAGAAACUAACAAGGAUUCCCUUAGUAACGGCGAGUGAAGCGGGAAGAGCUCAAAUUUGAAAUCUUCAAGGUUUUACCUUGACGAAUUGUAGUUUAAAGAAGUGUUUUCUGUUGGAGUUUUGGUAAAAGUUCUUUGGAAUAGGACAUCAUAGAGGGUGAGAAUCCCGUAUUUGGUCAUUCCUCCUAGCUGUUGUGAUACACUUUCAACGAGUCGGAUUGUCUGGGAAUGCAGUCCAAAAUGGGUGGUAAAUUUCAUCUAAAGCUAAAUAUUGGCGAGAGACCGAUAGCGAACAAGUACCGUGAGGGAGAAGAUGAAAAGAACUUUGAAAAGAGAGUUAAACAGUACGUGAAAUUGUCAAAAGGGAAGCGUUUGACACCAGUGUUGUUUUUCCGAAAAUCAAUUACGAAUGUUUUGUUUUUGAGGAGUUACGACUUCAUCGGCUUGCUCCUUUCUUUAUGAAACUUUCUUAAUGCACUUUUCGGUUAACAAGUCAACAUCAAUUUCUUUUGUUGUAAAAGGGUAUGAGGAAGGUGGCUUUCUUUUCGGAGAAGGUGUUUAUAGCCUUGUGCCUCUGCAAUCGGAGAGAUUGAGGUCUGCAGCGUAGAUCCUUCGGGGUUAGAUACGUUUGUGCUAAGUUAUAGCUUUUCAUAGACAACUUGUUGACUAUGUUUAGUCUUGUAGCUUACUCGCUUAUGCUAUUUUACCUACGCUUAGGAUGUUGACGCGCGUGUGUGCGUG
rnacentral:rRNA from 1 species